UUUGAAAUUUAAUCCCAAAAUAUCUGCCCUUAAUUCUUCUUUUUCCCCUUUUUCAAUUAACCUUCGUAGAAAGUGCCCUGAAUCUAGACCCCCUUUCACUGUUAAUCAAAAAAUUCACCAUCUGUUUAUGAGUAUCCUUCACAUUUCACUAGUAUGUCUUUCAACAACCAUCCAAAGACCGUAUUUCUUCCGAGUCUUCCACCGAAAAAUCAAUUGCCGAAUCUGUGACUUUCAACCUAUCUUUUUCACUAGAUCUAUCUUUAUCCCAGUCGAGAAAGAACAAAUCCCCUUCACAUGACCAUACUGCCCGCAAGAGAAGUAAAUGGACAGUAAGGAUUCCUAUUCAAUUUUUUGAAGUUUAUCAUUAAUCAUAAUCUGGGAUGUUAAGGGUUUAUCUAAAUUCACAAAAAUAGCCAUCCUUGUAAAACGUCCCCUUAGCCUAUUAUCAUUUUAAAAUCAAGUUUUGCAACCUUACCUAUUAAGCCACCAAUCUCCUCAAGGAUCUUUUUGUUAUAUAGAUAGCCGAGGAGGCCUGUAAUUGCAUCCAUGCCAUAACCAUCAUCGAGAAAAGGCUGAAACGGGUUAAGUUCCAUUGUCCAUGGCUACACCGUAAGUUCCGCCAAGCUAGCUCGGGGAUCGAAAGCUGUCAAAGUAUUCGAUCACACUAUCAAAAGACUAUUGGGUAUAGUAAAAUUAUUAUUUUGAGUAUGGUAUGUAUAGGAAACUUGGUCAUUUUGUAGUAUGUGUCAUGCUAUAUAAUGAUGAUUCAUUUUGUAAUGGCCAUGUGAUAUGGCUCAUAUUUGAUCAUUUGGGUUGUAAUCUAAUUACCCAUGCAUGCAUGUGCUAGUGUCUUGAUGGUAGGAUAUGUUAUUGCUUGGUGAGUGCAGGAUAAUGAUGUGAUAUAUUGUUGAUCGAUGAAUGUAUAGUAAAGUAUGAAUUGGGUGCUAAA